rnacentral:misc_RNA from 1 species
CUGCCCUCAAGCGCGGCUUGUGUGUUGGGCGUGGUCCCCCCGGGGACCUGCCCGAAAGGCAGCGGCGACGUCCGUCCGGUCCUCGAGCGUAUGGGGCUCUGUCACUCGCUCGGGACGGAUCGGCGGAGGUUGGUCACCACCACAGUUUUACCAC